rnacentral:rRNA from 1 species
GAUGAACGCUAGCGGCAGGCUUAACACAUGCAAGUCGAGGGGUAUAGUUCUUCGGAGCUAGAGACCGGCGCACGGGUGCGUAACGCGUAUGCAAUCUACCUUUUGCAGAGGGAUAGCCCAGAGAAAUUUGGAUUAAUACCUCAUAGUGUGUGAGAAUGGCAUCAUUUUCACAUUAAAGUCACAACGGCAAAAGAUGAGCAUGCGUCCCAUUAGCUUGUUGGUAAGGUAACGGCUUACCAAGGCAACGAUGGGUAGGGGUCCUGAGAGGGGGAUCCCCCACACUGGUACUGAGACACGGACCAGACUCCUACGGGAGGCAGCAGUGAGGAAUAUUGGACAAUGGGCGCAAGCCUGAUCCAGCCAUGCCGCGUGCAGGAUGACGGUCCUAUGGAUUGUAAACUGCUUUUGUACAGGAAGAAACACUGGUUCGUGAACCAGCUUGACGGUACUGUAAGAAUAAGGAUCGGCUAACUCCGUGCCAGCCGCCGCCGUAAUAC